UUAAAAUGAAGAUAAAGUUUGAAUAAUAAUAUAUGGAUUAAAUAGACAUUUUAGUUGAGUAGAUCAAACUAGCUUAAUGAAGACAGAUUGCAUUUUGGAGGUUAUUUUGAUGGAUUCUUCUGCCCGUCAUACACUCAUACUUGCUAGUCAAACAUGUAUAGCCAACAACUUUUCAUAUAUAUAUUUCCUGGAGUUUACUUCCUUCUAGUCAAUGCCUAUAUAUGUUUCUGCAAAUUUCAAGGUAAUGAUGCCAAUGUUAAAUUUCGUAGGUUUCAGAGAACUACCCGCUACUGGAGAUGUAUAUUUACUUGAUUCUCCAGCUGUGCAUACUGAUAUACUGAUGAUAUGUGGUGUAAAGUAAAUGAUAAAUCGCGUGAAGAUGUCAGGAAAUGGUGUUUCAGAGCUGAAAAUCUAUGUUAAGCAAGAAAGGGAAACCCGAUGGGAGAAGUAGAUAUGGCGGGUUAUAUUGUUUGGUCACGUUAGUUCUUGACAAGAUUACUCUUUUGUUGGAAGAAAAUUAAAAGGCGAAUUUGUUGGAGGGGGUUGAGGAGGAAGUUGAGUUCAUUAGAGAUAUGAUGAACUGGAAAAAAUGAAAACUGCAACAAAUCUGCCAUCACCACCUAUGGCAGAAGGAAUUGGCUCUAGUAUAUCAUGGAUCUCAACCUUCAUAUAUUCCAUAAGCUUUGUCUGUAUAUAUUCCUUAUCUGGCCUGUAAAUCAGUUUCACUUUGAAAUAUGUAGUUUUUUCUAUGGUUUUCAAGAGUUGGUGCUAUUCAUAAUGUGCAUAUUUUUAGCA